UUUGGAAAUUUUGUUCCUCAAAUCUUUUUCAUUCUCAAUAAAGACUUCUUUUUUGUUUUCAUUUUUCUUUAUUCUCUCUCUCUUUCUUGAGAGAGAGAGAGAGAGAGUGCAUGCAGGGGGUUGGGGGGCACAGAGGGGCAAAGGGAGAGGGAGAGAGAGAAUCUUAUGUAGGCUCCAUGUUUAGUGUGUUGCCUGACAUGGGGCUGGAUCUCACAAUCCUGAGAUCAUGACCUGAGCCAAAAUCAAGAGUCAGACACUUAAUAGACUGAGUCACUCAGGCACCCUUCUUUUUCAUUUUAAUUGUGGUAAAAUAUGCAUAACAAAAAUUUUACCAUUUUAACCAUUUUUAAGUGUUCAGUGUCAUUAACUAUAUUUACAAUAUUGUAUAACCACCGCCACCACUAUCUAUUCCCAGAAUUUUUUUUUAUCAUCCCAAGCUGUACUCAUUAAACAAUAACUUCCUAUGUCUCCCCACCCCACAGCCUCUGGUAACCUCCAUUCUACCUUCAGUAUUUAUGAAUAUGCCUAUUCUAGGGGCACCUCAUAUAAGUAGAAUCAUAAAAUAUUUGUCCUUUUGUGUCUGCCUUAAUUCACGUUAUGUUUUCAAGAUCCAUACCUGUUGUAGCAUGUGUCAGAACUUUGGUUCUUAAAAAAAAAAAAAAAAGAACUUCACUCAUUUUAAAGGCUGAAUAAUAUUCUGUUUCAUGUACAUACCAUAUUUGUUUAUCCAUUUACCUGUUGAUGGACACUUAGGUUGUUUCCACCUUUUGGCAAUUGGGAAUAAUGCUGCUGUGGAUAGUAAAGCUUUUUCUGAAGACAGUACGACAGUGGUUUCGACCUCUUUCCAUGAAGUUCCGUUAGUUUUAUUUAUCAGCAUUUCAUCUGAAGGUGAAGAUAAUAGUUUCACUAUAAAAGCAUAACAAACCAAAGAUUUAGAGUCAGACAAUGCCAUUUCUGCCUCCCGUUUUCUGUGUGGAUUUGGAGAAGUAAUUUAAUUCCUAUAAACCUCAAGUUUUUUAACUGUUAAAUGCAUCAAUAUGUAAUAAUUUCUGUUGCCCAGAGAGUUGUGAGACGAAUGAGGCAACACAUGGAGUACCUAGUACAAUGUUUGGUGCCAAGACAAGAGUGACUGGUAGUCAUUAGUUUUAUUUCCAAAUGGCCACAUACUCCAGCCCCUACAUUUCCAAACUGAGCUACUUCCUUCAUCCCAUUGCCAUAGGUUGGGGCUUUUUUCUCACUUUUUCCUCUCAUUGCUCUUAAGAGUUUGAUUUCAAUCACUUGCAUAGAUCACAAAAACACUCCUUAAUUUUCUAACCCAUUUAACAUUUCAGUAAAAGGUCUAUCCAGCAAGUUCAUCUUCAAGUCUAGAUUAUAACUUCUACUAUGGAGAAAAAACGUUAGAGAAUAUAUAUUUAGAGAUUCAAGACCAUUCAUGUCUGUCUGAAUAACUCUGAAGAUUAUAUACUAGAAAGUACUUAUAUAGUAUUAAAGACAGUUGGUAAGACUCCUUCCACCCUUGAAAGGGCAAGGGUAAUUAACUUCUGAGACCUAGAGAGAAGACUUCCAAGGACCGUGUUACUGAACCACUCUUUUACAAUUGCAAAGUGGCAUUUUGUCACCACACAAAUAUAUGGGAAUCCUAGGAGAAAUAUCGGCUCAUUUGGUUAAAUUGAAGAAUAACAUUGGGAGGCCCUAGAAUUGGUUCCCAUGUGAAAAAAAAAAAAAAGAAAAAGAGGUACAUAGAUACCACUUAACCUAAGACCACCUUUGUAGUCAGUUUGUCUGCUCUGGGUUGACCCAAUCAUAGUCAAGUAAUAUAAGGGGUAUGAGAGAGCCAGAAAAUGCCCUGCCUUAAUCCAAAGACACUUGCACCUGGAAAUACAAUCUGCACAUUUUAAAAGAUUUGCCCAGACCUUAAUCAUUUUAAUUUUAAACCAAACUAAAAGUAAAUAAUGAUUCCAUCAACCAUUUUGAUGAUUUGAAAUGAAAUUAGUUAAAAGUCUACUUAACACAGCCAUCCACAGAAGAGUCAGGUUUUAAGUUCAGGAAGAUAAUAAUGACAAGAACUGUGACUUCAGGCUUACUUUAUUCCAAGUGGUUAGAAGUUUACUCUGUAGGCCUUCAAUCUACUUUUAGAGAUAAUGUAAUUAGAAGUCACAGGGCCGGAUCAAUCUUAAAAAUCCAACCACGUUAAUAUUUAGGAAUACCUCCAAAUGAUUAAUGUUUGAAUGAAACAUCUAAAUAGACUGGCUAUUUUGCUAUUGUGUUGCAGAUUAAGCCACUAUCAGAGGUCCAGUUUUUAUGUGGCCCAUAGUUUGUACUGCCAGCGAUAUUGGUAGGUAGGCGCUCUCAUGCCCUAUGACUAAAUCACCUGUCGGUAUCCCAGGUGCUAGAAAGGGGCCAGUACCUAGCUGGGGUGGAAGCUCAAUUAAUGCGGUUGUGGAAAUUAACAAAUAAAUUAUCUCUAUUACUUUUAUGUUUGGAAAUACUUGUACCAGACUCAUCUCAGUCACUCCAGUGCCAUCUAGUUCAGUUCUCUACACUGAUUAAAUGAGCCAAAUUUGGGGCACCUGGGUGGCUAAGUCAGUUAAGCAUCUGCCUUCAGCUCAGGUCAUGAUCCUGGGGUCUUGGGAUCAAGUCCCACCUUGGGGUCCCUGCCCAGCUAGAAGCCUGCUUCUCUCUCUGCCUGCAACUCCCUCUGCUUGUGUACUUGCUCUUUCUCUCUCUUUCUGUCAAAUAAAUAAAUAAAUAAAAAUCUUAAAGAAAUAACCCUAAUUUUUGCCAAAUUUCUCCUGUGUUCUUAAACACAGGAAACUGGGGCACCUGGGUGGCUCAGUGGUUGAGCGUCUACCUUUGGCUCAGGUCAUGAUCCUGCGGUGCUGGGAUCGAGUCCCACAUCAGGCUCCUCACAGGGAGUCUGCAUCUCCCUCUGCCUAUGUCUCUGCUUCUCUUCUCUGUGUCUCUCAUGAGUAAAUAAAUAAAACCGUAAAAAAAAAAAAAAGAAAAAAAAA
rnacentral:lncRNA from 1 species